AGGAUAAACGCUGGCGGCGUGCCUAACACAUGCAAGUCGAACGCGCUUUCGGGCUUCGGUGCGAGAGCGAGUGGCGGACGGGUGAGUAACACAUGGGUACCUACCUUGGAGUGAGGGAUACCGGCGAGAAAUCGCCGACAAUACCGCAUAGGCUUCUUCACAAGGGAAGCAAAGUGACGCGAGUCACGCUUUGAGAUGGGCCUGUGGCCGAUUAGCUAGUUGGGGGGGUAACGGCUUCCCAAGGCGACGAUCGGUAGCUGGUCUGAGAGGACGAUCAGCCACACUGGGAUUGAGAACGGCCCAGACUCCUACGGGGGGCAGCAGUGAGGAAUUUUCCGCAAUGGAGGCAACUCUGACGGAGCAACGCCGCGUGCAGGAGGAAGGUUUUCGGAUCGUAAACUGCUUUUCUGGGGACGAGCAAGGACGGUACCCGAGGAAGAAGCCCGGCUAACUACGUGCCAGCAGCCGC
rnacentral:rRNA from 1 species